GAUGAACGCUGGCGGCGUGCCUAAUACAUGCAAGUCGAGCGAACGGACGAGAAGCUUGCUUCUCUGAUGUUAGCGGCGGACGGGUGAGUAACACGUGGAUAACCUACCUAUAAGACUGGGAUAACUUCGGGAAACCGGAGCUAAUACCGGAUAAUAUUUUGAACCGCAUGGUUCAAUAGUGAAAGACGGUCUUGCUGUCACUUAUAGAUGGAUCCGCGCUGCAUUAGCUAGUUGGUAAGGUAACGGCUUACCAAGGCGACGAUGCAUAGCCGACCUGAGAGGGUGAUCGGCCACACUGGAACUGAGACACGGUCCAGACUCCUACGGGAGGCAGCAGUAGGGAAUCUUCCGCAAUGGGCGAAAGCCUGACGGAGCAACGCCGCGUGAGUGAUGAAGGUCUUCGGAUCGUAAAACUCUGUUAUUAGGGAAGAACAUAUGUGUAAGUAACUGUGCACAUCUUGACGGUACCUAAUCAGAAAGCCACGGCUAACUACGUG
rnacentral:rRNA from 1 species